UAUUUGGCAGUGUAUAUAGCCAUGAUCAAUGUAAUAACAAUGUGGGCAUAUGUAAAUAAUUACCUUGAAAACUUGCACAGUCUGUUGUGGGACAAAUGGUGGGGGAGAGAAUGAACGGCGAACUGAACUGAACGGCACGGAACUCGGCAAACGUAACAUAGAGCGGCUCGGAAGCUCAAACAAACGCUACCUUUUAAACGUCACGGUUAACUUCGGCACGCCACGCUACCAAUAGUAAUCCCAACCGUAGCAAUGAUAGAAAUAAGGAACGUAACAACUUAUAGAGAGAAAAAAUAGUUUCACAGUGGUGACAGCGGUGGGAUUACAAAAACUGACUUUUAUUUUAAGCACGCCAAAGGCGAGCUAAAUUAAUCUGUUGUCGGUUCCGCUCCAAACAGGGCGGCGAACCCAAUGUUUUUUUUUAUUGCAAUAUAUUUCUUAAAUUGUGAUAUUGUUUUGCCUUUAAUAUUAAAUGUAAGUCAUGUAUGUAGGUAUCGGGCCGUUCAUGUUCGCAGUGGUUCAUCUCCCCCGACCUGUCCCGGCCAGUGGGCCAGGCGGGCGGCUCGGCCCUCGCGGUCAGUCACCGCGGGGUGCCAGCGCCGGCUCGCGGCGGUCCCGCGGCAAUUAGGCCCUGCCCUCCGCUCUGUCUGAUUGGUGUAGGGACGGAGGAUGGGCGUGGCCAAAUUGAGUGUGGGGCUGAGGGGUGCCUCUGAGGACAGUGUAUGUCCAGGUGUUCUUCCGCGUCAUUGCUGAGGGUUCUCGGGUCCAUUCGUGCAUUGUGCUGAAAGCAACGAGUUUUGAGAUGUCUACCCGGAGUUCGGAAUCAUUCUCUCAUCUAUAAUCAUCGGAGGGAUGUGAGAAACUUUGUUCCUCCGACACGGCCAGACCGUGGCUGCACCGCCGGACCCGGCGGACCGCGCGGCGACCGCACCGCACCCCACCGGCUGAUGGGCCCGGCGCGCCCUCUAAUCUGCCGACGGCCGGGGGCGGAAUGCGGCGGCGGCCGCGCACAAACAACCGCGGGGGAGGAUGCGGCGUGGUGGGAACCGAGAGCCGGCGCAGGAGCGUGACCAGCAGCAGGUCGACAGACCCGAGCUCCUCCGACGGCGCAGCGGACCACACCGGACCUCCUGACGCCGCCCCUGCGACAUCCAUCUCCGCCAUCUACCUGGCCGACCGACUCCCACUGUUCGGCGCCGCCUGCCGCCGGAGGGCAACAAACAACCCCACCACGAUUGGGGCAGGCCGGCGGCCGGCGAGGUCAUUGCCACGGCGAGUCGGUGACCUCUUCUACUACGGUGUCCUGAGUUCUGUGGCUGUUCUGUUUUGCUCUGUUCUGUUCUGCUCUGUCCUGUUCUGCCCUGCCAUGUUCUGUGCGCUCUGUCCUGCGGGACUAGCCGUGCGUGCCGCGCCCGAGGCAACUGCCAACCGCCGGAGGCGCGGUAUAUAAGCUGAGUCCCGCAGUGAUCCCUCUCUCUCUUCGCUCUCCACUGGAGUCUUGGACUGCCCGUGCGCGACGUUGUGCAUCCAUACCUCCUACCCAAUAUCAUGUAAGUAGAAGGGGGCGGCCCUUAUUUGGCAGUGUAUAUAGCCAUGAUCAAUGUAAUAACAAUGUGGGCAUAUGUAAAUAAUUACCUUGAAAACUUGCACAGUCUGUUGUGGGACAAAUGGUGGGGGAGAGAAUGAACGGCGAACUGAACUGAACGGCACGGAACUCGGCAAACGUAACAUAGAGCGGCUCGGAAGCUCAAACAAACGCUACCUUUUAAACGUCACGGUUAACUUCGGCACGCCACGCUACCAAUAGUAAUC